GGCAUCGCCAGUUCCAUGAGAUUGCGUCACUGGAGCUGAUUCAAAUGUUCGAAUUGGAGCAUUAGUCCGCCGAGGCCUUCCAUAUGCUGGAGUGAAGGGCGUGAGCGCAAAGGAGACUCGGAAGCGAUGCGGAUGCGGAAGCAGUACAGGCACAGAGAAUGCUCGAAUCCUCGGGGCGUUCCUAUUGUUUCCGCUAUUCUUUCAUGGUGUUUGGCUUUCUAAUUCGCUCUGGUUAAAUGCGUAGUUUUGGACUCCUCUGGUUAAAUGCGUAGGGAGGGCAUUCAGACUAUAUCGCGCCAUACUAUUGUUUCCGCUUUCCGUUGAUAAUAUAAGUAUAUCUGACACAUCCCUUGUUUAAAGGACUUCCAUUUUCUUUUAAUUCCUUCGGAUAAGUGGUGACUAUUUCUCGACCUGCUUUGACUGGUAGCUCGAACAGAAAUUG